CAUAUAUCCUAUUUUUACUUUGCAUUUACAGGGAACCAAAAAAAAAAACUUACAAGAAGAAUGGCAUGCAAGUGAUGUUGCAGCAAUGCGGGGAUUUGAAUGGGUUGCAGUUCGUGUGCAUGACAUUCCAUUUCAAUAUGCUAGGCUGGAACAUGAAGAGAUGUUUUUGUGCCACCCAGGCCCACAGCCCGCUCUUGUUCCAAUUCUUACCAGUACAAG